GUGCUCGCUUCGGCGCACAUAUACUAAAAUUGGAAUGAUACAGAGAAGAUUAGCAUGGCCCCUGCAUGAGGACGACACGCAAAUUUGUGAAGCGUUCCAUAUUUUU
rnacentral:snRNA from 1 species